GAUGAAGAACGUAGUGAAAUGCGAUAAGUAAUGUGAAUUGCAGAAUUCAGUGAAUCAUCGAAUCUUUGAACGCACCUUGCGCUCCUUGGUAUUCCUUGGAGCAUGCCUGUUUGAGUAUCAUGAGCAAAUCUCAAAGUCGAUCCUUUUGUUAAUUCAAUUGGUUUUGCUUUGGACUUGGAGGUCUUGCAGAUUUCACCAUCUGCUCCUCUUAAAUGUAUUAGCUGGAUCUCAGUAUUUAUGCUUGGUUCCACUCGGCGUGAUAAGUAUCACUCGCUGAGGACACUGGUAAAAAGGUGGCCAGGAAAAUACUGAUUGAACCGCUUCUAACGGUCUAUUAACUUAGACAAUUACCCUUAAGUUUGAUCUCAAAUCAGGUAGGACUACCCGCUGAACUUAAGCAUAUCAAUAAGCGGAGGA
rnacentral:misc_RNA from 1 species